AAAAGUUUUCCAAAUACCUCCACAUCAUCACGCCUGGAUUUAGAAAAGAAUAGCAAAAAAAUCUGCACCUCCUGCUUCACAUGCAAUUUGUGUUUGUGUGUUCAGAGCCGGCGGCGAGAGGGGAGACCUCGGCUCAUCCAGCUGGACAGCCUGACCAGGAGGAGUCGAACAUUAACUCUGCUCUUUCAGGGCACCCUGCAGACUCAGCUGCUGGCAUUUGCUAGGGAGUGCAGGCGCCGCUGGGAUGACAUGAACGCCAAACUGGAGUCCAUCACAGGUCGACUGCAGCUGCUUGUCUCAGAGUGGGAGGGAUUUGAAGCACAAAGGGAGGAGCUUGUCGUUUGGUUGGCUGAUAUGGAUGUCCACCUGAGUGAGGUUGACCAGCUGACAGGAAAUACCUGUGAAAAACUGAAACAACUGCAGGUGUGGGGUUGUUUUGAUAUGAGAUAUAUUUGAUAUGACACAUAUGUCAGAGACAUUAUCCUAAACUGGACUAACAAAGAACCAUGAGUCCAACAUGAAACUUGCCUUACAUAACUCUGAAGUUCAUUGAUCAUUUUAAUCCUAAACUUGUUGUUGAAAUAAUUUUACUUAACAUGCAAAUAUCUGCUGAUGAAAAUGUGCUGAUUUAUUGGUCUGUUAUGAAGCUAUUGCUAUUUCUAAUGUGUUUUUAUCACUUUCUGAUGUUUUAUUCAUUAAACAAUACAUGUAUUAAU
ensembl:lncRNA